AAGAACCUUAGCCAGGCCUUGACAUGCAGAGAACUUUCCAGAGAUGGAUUGGUGCCUUCGGGAACUCUGACACAGGUGCUGCAUGGCUGUCGUCAGCUCGUGUCGUGAGAUGUUGGGUUAAGUCCCGUAACGAGCGCAACCCUUGUCCUUAGUUACCAGCACGUUAUGGUGGGCACUCUAAGGAGACUGCCGGUGGACAAACCGGAGGAAGGUGGGGAGUGACGUCAAGUCAUCAUGGCCCUUACGGCCUGGGCUACACACGUGCUACAAUGGUCGGUACAAAGGGUUGCCAAGCCGCGAGGUGGAGCUAAUCCCAUAAAGCCGAUCGUAGUCCGGAUCGCAGUCUGCAACUCGACUGCGUGAAGUCGGAAUCGCUAGUAAUCGUGAAUCAGAAUGUCACGGUGAAUACGUUCCCGGGCCUU
rnacentral:rRNA from 1 species